UACGGAGGGGGCUAGCGUUGUCCGAAGUUACUGGGCGUAAAGCGCGCGUAGGCGGGUUGGUAAGUCCGCUGUGAAAGCCCGGAGCUUAACUCCGGAGGGUCGGUGGAUACUGCCAGUCUUGAAGGUGCUAGGGGGAGAUGGAAUUACCGGUGUAGCGGUGAAAUGCGUAGAUAUCGUUUGGAACGCCAAAGGUGAAAACAGACAGCUGGGAGUGUGCUGACGCUGAGACACGAAAGCCAGGGGAGCGAACGGGG
rnacentral:rRNA from 1 species